rnacentral:rRNA from 1 species
GACGAACGCUGGCGGCAGGCCUAACACAUGCAAGUCGAACGAAGUCUUCGGACUUAGUGGCGGACGGGUGAGUAACACGUGGGAACGUGCCUUUAGGUUCGGAAUAACUCAGGGAAACUUGUGCUAAUACCGAAUGUGCCCUUCGGGGGAAAGAUUUAUCGCCUUUAGAGCGGCCCGCGUCUGAUUAGCUAGUUGGUGAGGUAAAGCUCACCAAGGCUACGAUCAGUAGCUGGUCUGAAAGGAUGACCAGCCACAUUGGGACUGAGACACGGCCCAAACUCCUACGGGAGGCAGCAGUGGGGAAUCUUGCGCAAUGGGCGAAAGCCUGACGCAGCCAUGCCGCGUGGAUGAUGAAGGUCUUAGGAUUGUAAAAUCCUUUCACCGGUGAAGAUAAUGACUGUAGCCGGAGAAGAAGCCCUGGCUAACUUCGUGCCAGCCGCCGCAGUAAAAC